rnacentral:tRNA from 1 species
AGGGGUGUACUUCAAGUGGUAGAAUAUGUAUGCUUAGCAUGCAUUAGGCCCUGGGUUCGAUCCCAACACCCCCU